GGCCUAAUGGUCUAGUGGCAUGAUUCUUCCUUUGGGUUGUUACGAUCUGUAUAUAUGGAAGAGGUCCUGGGUACAAUUCCCAGUUGGGCCC